AUUGAACGCUGGCGGCAGGCCUAACACAUGCAAGUCGAGCGGGGUUUUCGGACCUAGCGGCGGACGGGUGAGUAAUGCGUAGGAAGCUACCCGAUAGAGGGGGAUACCAGUUGGAAACGACUGUUAAUACCGCAUAAUGGCUACGGACCAAAGUGUGGGACCUUCGGGCCACAUGCUAUCGGAUGCGCCUACGUGGGAUUAGCUAGUUGGUGGGGUAAUGGCUCACCAAGGCGACGAUCCCUAGCUGGUUUGAGAGGAUGAUCAGGCAUACUGGAACUGAGACACGGUCCAGACUCCUACGGGAGGCAGCAGUGGGGAAUAUUGGACAAUGGGCGCAAGCCUGAUCCAGCCAUGCCGCGUGUGUGAAGAAGGCCUUCGGGUUGUAAAGCACUUUCAGUAGGGAGGAAGGGUGUUGUGUUAAUAGCACAGCAUUUUGACGUUACCUACAGAAGAAGCACCGGCUAACUCUGUGCCAGCAGCCGCAGUAACAC
rnacentral:rRNA from 1 species